rnacentral:pre_miRNA from 1 species
AAAAUACUCCCUCCGUCCAGAAAUACUUGUCAUUGAAAUGGAUGUAUCUAGAUGUAUUUUAGUUCUAGAUACAUCCAUUUUCAUCCAUUUUGAUGACAAGUAUUUCCGGACGGGGGGAGUAGAAU